UUGGCCUCAAAUCGGGUGAGACUACCCCUGAACU
rnacentral:rRNA from 1 species